rnacentral:rRNA from 1 species
GACGAACGCUGGCGGUGUGCUCAACACAUGCAAGUCGAACGGAAAGGCCCUGCUUUUGUGGGGUGCUCGAGUGGCGAACGGGUGAGUAACACGUGAGUAACCUGCCCUUGACUUUGGGAUAACUUCAGGAAACUGGGGCUAAUACCGGAUAGGAGCUCCUGCUGCAUGGUGGGGGUUGGAAAGUUUCGGCGGUUGGGGAUGGACUCGCGGCUUAUCAGCUUGUUGGUGGGGUAGUGGCUUACCAAGGCUUUGACGGGUAGCCGGCCUGAGAGGGUGACCGGCCACAUUGGGACUGAGAUACGGCCCAGACUCCUACGGGAGGCAGCAGUGGGGAAUAUUGCACAAUGGGCGGAAGCCUGAUGCAGCAACGCCGCGUGCGGGAUGACGGCCUUCGGGUUGUAAACCGCUUUCGCCUGUGACGAAGCGUGAGUGACGGUAAUGGGUAAAGAAGCACCGGCUAACUACGUG